GAAGUAGAGAAAAUGGAAUGCCAACUCCCGCGAGAUUUGUAUUGCCCUCUGUGUUAUGAGCUUGUGACCACGAGAGUUGGGCGAGAGUUGGGUAGUUUUACUUUCGGUCAACUUUCGUUGCACUACAUGUGAAUGGGGAGCAGGCGUGCUAAGACAAUUGAGCGUCAUUUUGACAGAUUUUUGGUUCAAUUUGAUUAAUAAUGGCCUCGAAGUUGACAUUAUUGGAGAAUGAUUUUGAAGAGAGAUUCAGUAUGCUGCAACUCGCCGUACAGAGCACCACACAACCAGUCACCAGUCACCCUGGUGACUGAAAUCUCACAAUUAGUGGAGCAAUCCCUGGAAAAGCUGCAUCCAGCAUUUUGUUGACAUACAGCAGCUAUAAAUAUGCAAAAGGACACUUCAAAAGUUUCAGAUAUCUGCAAACUUUUGGGACAAUGCAUAUCUCCCUGUUUGGUAAAGAAGUCCCAAGGUCUCCAGGCUGAACAGAGAGGCAUCCCAGUCAGCUUUCUUCACUGCUACAACCAGAAUGACAGCCAUUAUAGCAGUCACAGAAGAUCACUAACUCAGUGUGGUUGACACUUGAUAUCUUCAGUAAAGUCCUGGAUGCACAUGUCAUCAGCCCAAAUAGUGCAUGGUGGUUUUUGUAGUCAGCAAACUGAAACAUAUAUGUAAAGGAAGUGAUAAGCAUAAAGAACAGAGUCAACCCAGAGA